AUUGAACGCUGGCGGCAUGCUUUACACAUGCAAGUCGAACGGUAACAGGCCGCAAGGUGCUGACGAGUGGCGAACGGGUGAGUAAUGCAUCGGAACGUGCCCAGUCGUGGGGGAUAACGCAGCGAAAGCUGUGCUAAUACCGCAUACGAUCUAUGGAUGAAAGCGGGGGACCGUAAGGCCUCGCGCGAUUGGAGCGGCCGAUGUCAGAUUAGGUAGUUGGUGGGGUAAAGGCCCACCAAGCCAACGAUCUGUAGCUGGUCUGAGAGGACGACCAGCCACACUGGGACUAGGACACGGCGCAGACUCCUACGGGAGGCAGCAGUGGGGAAUUUUGGACAAUGGGCGCAAGCCUGAUCCAGCAAUGCCGCGUGCAGGAAGAAGGCCUUCGGGUUGUAAACUGCUUUUGUACGGAACGAAACGGUCUGGGUUAAUACCCUGGGCUAAUGACGGUACCGUAAGAAUAAGCCCCGGCUAACUACGUGCCAGCCGCCGCUGUAACAC
rnacentral:rRNA from 1 species